UCCGGUUUAACACCGGCAGUCUCCAUAGAGUGCCCAACUGAAUGAUGGCAACUAGGGAUAAGGGUUGCGCUCGUUAAGGGACUUAACCCGACAUCUCACGAUACGAGCUGACGACAGCCAUGCAGCACCUAACCGUCGGUCUCUUGCGAGAAGGCUCUAUCUCUAAAGCUGUCCGACGUCUUCUAACCCAGGUAAGGUUCUUCGCGUUGCAUCGAAUUAAACCACAUGCUCCACCGCUUGUGCGGGCCCCCGUCAAUUCCUUUGAGUUUUAACCUUGCGGCCGUACUUCCCAGGCGGGGUACUUAAUGCGUUAGCUUCGGCACUGUAGGGGUCAAUUCCCACAACACCUAGUACCCAUCGUUUACGGCGUGGACUAC
rnacentral:misc_RNA from 1 species